rnacentral:rRNA from 1 species
UACGUAGGGGGCAAGCGUUGUCCGGAAUUAUUGGGCGUAAAGGGCUCGUAGGCGGUUUCUUAAGUCUGAUGUGAAUGCCCACAGCUCAACUGUGGAGGGUCAUUGGAAACUGGGGAACUUGAGUGCAGAAGAGGAGAGUGGAAUUCCACGUGUAGCGGUGAAAUGCGUAGAUAUGUGGAGGAACACCAGUGGCGAAGGCGACUCUCUGGUCUGAUAACUGACGCUGAGGAGCGAAAGCGUGGGGAGCAAACAGG